GCAAAGAGCAAAGUAAAAUAAUGUCAAAAAUUUUUUUUAUAUAUAAACUUGUUUAUCAACCUUUCUCAAAUUAUCUCAAGAGCAUUUUUGAAAAUUCACGUUAGAUAAUAUUACUGUGCGUGUCUCAAUAAAAACCCAACAGACUGCUCUUUGUACAACUGUAUUGUUACAAACCAAAGCACAUCAAAAACAUUCAUCAACAUAACACCAUGCCAUAUGAACAGAACACUAUUACUGCUCCCAUUUGAUCACAAAAUCAAUCAGUUGGACUAAUAGACUAAAAGACGUUUAUAAAAAAAAAUAAAAAAGUAAAGAAUAAUAAAAGUAUUAAAGACAAAAAGAGCCUAAUGAGUGCUUUGCACAAACAUUAUAGCUUUAAAAAGACAGAUACUUAAAAAAAAAAUUUUUUUUAAAAUGGGCAAACAGUCACACAAACAAAACCAAAAAGUGAGAAAAUCUGCAAGAAACAUGCAUAAUUAAGUUAAGGGAGCUGUCGAGGUCUUUGGCUGAGAUGCAAACAUCUGCACCUUUCUCUACACUGUCAGCUAAGAAUAAAAUGCAAAAAAUACGCAAAAACACUGGAUUUCUAAAGCAACAUGCACAUUCUGAAAGCUUUCUCUACGCACAUUUUUUCCUGUGACAUUCCCUAACAAAUUACAGCAAACACAGUUUGGGAUCUUGCAAAGCAAUGCAUUCAAAAUAAAACAUCACAAUUACAAGCAAAAACAUUGUGUUUAACAUUUCAGCCCAACAUUGUGCUACAUUGAGCUGCAUUCAAAAACAAAGUACAGAGUAAAGUAUACAAAGUGUGUGUGUGAGUGUGUGCAAAUCAGUG